GGCGCCUUGGCAGAGUGGUUAUGCAGCGGAUUGCAAAUCCGUGUACCUCGGUUCGAUUCCGGGAGGCGCCUCCA
rnacentral:tRNA from 5 species